ACAUUUUUUUCGCUGCUCGUCGCUGCAGAUGAAAUGACUUCGGUCUCCUGUAGAUGGUGCCGAGGACGGCUGCUUUCAAAGAUUUUCUAGAAAACCUUUGAUCUCCUCCAGAGUAUGGUAUGAGGAGUUCCUGCAUACACCCACUGUUCACUUUUCCACGUAGCUCAGUCAGCAAUCCAUGUCCACCUGACUAGUUCUUUUGUCCAAACUGCGUCAAAUAUCAUCCAAUAUAUUGUCCAACACAUUUAAAAUCAUCCAUCUUGCUGCUUUAUAAAUUUAAGAAGUCCUCAUGUUAAGUAACAGCACAUGAUGUGGUGUGUACAUGCGCUACAUAGAGUUCCUAUCCAUUGUUCACACAGAUGACAUCAUCAGACCAGGAUCCUUUGAUGUGUUUUUAUUAAUUUCACUUUGACAUCAGAACAGAGACAUUUUUUUCCUGACAUCUUUCCCAAAGCUUCAAAAUACCAAUCAAAGUCAUUGCAAUUACAAAACGGAGCCAAUAUCCUCAAACAUGCCCACACCUGACCAAAACGGGCAGAAAGCAACAUGCUAAAGGGGGCGGGGUCAUAAUCAGCAAGUUGAACACAAACUAAUAAAAUUAAUGAUCUAGUCGUCAAACCGCUAAAGCUACAAUAUGUAACGGUCUCACGUUCAAAUAAUCACAACCCGACUCCGCUUGAAUCCAUGAUCACAGACUGUGAAUAACAAUGGUACCAGUGCCCCCUAGUGGCCAGCUGCAAUACAGGUCAUUAAUACCAGCUUCCCCACAAAGGCGCACAAAAAUAGACGUGCAAAUAGUUAUUUUUACAGUUGUCACCUACGUGUCCCAAUAUUCACUGGGACAACACCUCAGUUAAAAAAAAAAAAAAAAAUACCGUUAGCUUUGAUUGUUAGCUAAUAUCAGAGUUGCUAAUGGCUAAUUCACACGGUAAUAUUCUUAGUGCGCUCCUGCUGGUGAAGGCACACGUUUAGUGUUAAAAUCAGACAGUGGGGUUGUACCGAGCCCGAUCAUGUGAUGCAGCUGGCGAAGACCACAGGGAAUUAAGUCAAGUUUGCGAGAUGGUGACCCCGCCCUCGUGGUUAAGUUCAUUCUCAGUCUGCUUCACAGAGGCUGAGAAAAAUGAGAAAACGUGAAACAGGUCUGCCAGAUUUUCUGUCCGUAUUCUGAAAUAAGCGCCUUGGGGCAACUGUUUGUUGUGAUUUGGCGCUAUAUAAAUAAAAUUGAUUUGAAAUAAAUUAAUUACUGGAUGAGCUCAUGAACGAUGAGCUCUGAGCUCAUUUUUUUUUUUUUUGGCUAAUGAAGAACUACAUCUCCCAUGAGGCAACAGCCAAUCAGAAUUUUCUUGGGGAAAGAAAACACACACACACACACACACACACACACACACACACACACACACACACACACACACACACACACACACACACACACACACACGGCCUAUAAAAAACAGUUAUCCUCUUCUUUUACAGGAUUCAUUUUAUUUUUACGUCAAAUCAAAAACUUUAAAAAUGCACAUUUUUAAAAAUUUUACUGUUUCACUUUAAAGCAAAAGAAAUUUAACAUAACUAAUGUUUUUAUUCCCCCCCAAAAAUCGCUGUGCUUUAGUCGUAAUUAGUUAAAUGGAGACAGGCCACAUGUAGUUCAAGUGUGUGUGUAUGUGUGUGUGUGUGGGGAAAAACCUAGUUAAUGAAUAUCGCUCAGCAAUCAAACAAACCCAUAUUUAAGAACAAGGCAUUAAAGAACACCUUCAUAAAGAAGCUUUGAUGUGAUGUUGUAAAACAAACAGGUGGCACACUUCUCAUCGAGGCUGGAUUUCCCACGAGUCGCACUGUUCUAACACUCACUAGAUAGUUUUUUUUUUUUUUUUUUGUAGAAUAUUGACCUAAAAGUCCAGGAACCCGUUUCAGAUGUUUCCUGCUUUUGACAGAAGUGAUUUGCAGACAGCAAAGAAGGCGGGGCUUCAGCUGGUGAGGCGUUAAAGCAGCAGCUCUCUUCAGGCUAAUUCAUCGAGAUUGCAUGGCGGAUUUGUUCGGGCUGGAGGCGAGCGUGAAGCAUUGCAUAUUUUGGCUUUAACUGUGAAGACAUCGUGGAGACAUUGGUGAGGCGAGCGAGCAGACGGUGAUCAUGGUGAGAGAUGUUAACAUGCACGGGGAGGAAUGUUCCACGACGCAGGGGGAGGAGGGGGCGGAUCAAACAUUCAGCAGGCAGACGUCAGCAAAGUCAAAGCACGAGUCAUUACUGUGUCCAACGCUGAUGAACUCCUCCAUCGCUGGCCACCAAUCAGCACUCGGGAACAGAACCGCUAACGUACCCGGCGUGUCAGUCGCUUCCAUUGCAACGUAGCAGUAGCGCUAACACAGAGAGUCCAAAACAAAACCAUAAUCAUAUUCAACAAAUCUGCAUGUCCAGUUUCACGGCCGUCACUAAAGACAAAGGAUCAGACGGACCUCCAGAAUAAAAGUCCAAACGCACUCUGCACUGCAAAAUAGAAAAAGCCAAACCUAAAAAUUUUUUUUUAAAUUAAAACUUGGAAUUUCCUCAACGUAUUUUUUUUUUUUUUUUUGUCAAUUUCAAUUAAAAAUUUGGUCAAACUGCAUUUUAUUGUUUGACCAAAACAAAAUUCUGGUUCAGCUCAACUCAGUUACAAGUUCAAUGAACCUACUCAACAGCUAACUGGUGGGGGCGGGGCCUAAAUUAUAAACUACACAACCUUCUUCUACAACUAAUUACUUUUGUGUUCCUCGAACUAGAAAUUCUGAGUUGAGCUGAUCAAAAAUUCUAAGUACAAAAAUCAAAUUAUGUUUUAUGCAAAUAAAAUCCUUAAAUUGAAAAAUGUCUAUUUUAGAGCUUUUUCUUUUUUGCACGCGUUCUUUAUUCUGCGACACCCGCAAACCUCCACAAAACGCAUUCAGCUGAGAGGACGACCAAUCAGGAAAUAAGUCAACCCGACGCACAAUCGGGAAUUUAUUUAUAUGCACUCUAAAAAAAACAAAAUACUCUUAAGCCUUAGGACACUGUUAGCAAGCUAGCAGGAAGUCAAAGCGUGUGCCCUAUAAUUAAACUCCACGACGACAAGUACUGAAGAAGAAUAAAAAUUUACACAUAAAUGUGAGACUUCAACACUCUGUGGCUUAAACAGGUACGACAAAAUGUGUUAACGCCCGCUGUACGUGAGGGAACGUCCAUAUAAAAAGCGAGGCUAAGUCGCUGAAAUACAGCAGAGCUCAUUUGUUUUUAGGUGUAUUUACAAAACAAACUAUUUGAUCAAAACGGGGUGAACUAGACCAAAUUAUCACCGCUGGCUCAGUAAUCACACGCUGCUCACGGCUUUUCAAAAUAAAAGUUCAGUGCAUGGCAGAAAAUUACAUUAUAAAU